rnacentral:lncRNA from 1 species
GCAGGCGCGGGUUUACCUGGAGGAUGGCACUGUCGGAGCACUAGCAGGCAGGAGAGGUGAAGGCAGGACCGAAAGGUGCUGGCGAUUUAAAGCGUGGAAAGAAAAAAUUCAGCCGUGGUGUAAUCCUAGACUUCGCCCAACCCACAUUCCUUCCCCCACCCCCCAGGGCCGGACAAAAACCUACACAUGACUGAUUUCAUGGCCAGUGCAAAGGGGCUCUUUCCCCCUGCCUGCCUGUGAGAAGCUCUUGCCGGUGCCGCUGGUCUCUUGCCGCCCUCCUGGCCAAGGACUUCUUGGCUCCGGCGCAGUUGCACGUGGUGGUGCCGCUGCCCAUCGUUGGCCAUGGAAUUGCAGGAAAAAGCAUGAGCCAAGAUGACAAGCCCAGCCGAGUGAUGAAUGUAGCCAAGGAAAUGUCUGUACAGAGGAUCAUUUUCCUGAUGGAUUUUGAUGAACCCUUCUGCCAUCAUGUUCAUAUUCAAUGAAGAAGAGGAAAUGAGACGUGGAUGCAGGGCAGCCAGCCUCACCCUGAUCCCUGAAUAGAUUAUGGAACAAAUCCUCCUUGCAGUCAUAUUCAUGGCCACGAAGGAUAAGGUGACCACUGAUAGCAAUAGCCCAGUCUGGUUGCCUUCUGUGAAGGGUCCUAUGGACAAGGGGAGAGCAGUGGAUGUUUACCCUAUCUUACAACAAAUUACAACAAGAACAAAAAUGUGGAGUGGAUGGAAAUCCAACAAAAUGGAUGGAAAGCUGUGUGUACUGCUGUGACUGGCAAUCAACAGUUUGAAGUCUAGAAGGCGGUCAGCUGGGAAUGGAGUACCUCCACAGCUGGUAGUGAAAAGAACAGUGUUUUAUGGCUUACUCACCUGGUGAUGGGAUACACCGUGCCCUCAGCAAACUGGCGGAUAACACCAAACUGAAUAAUGGGGGGAGGAGGAGAGCAGGACAGCCUAAAACAUGGGAGGAAAGUUCAUUCGGUUGCAUCGCUACCGGUUGGAGUGAUGGGCUGACAGAAAAUUCAUUAAGCUCAUCGGAUCUGCAUCUGGGAAAAAAUAAACCAAGGGAUCUGGGAAUAAUGGUGGACACAAUAAGUGUCAGCAGCAUGCCUCCUGGCUCUCGUGAAGGCCAACCCCAUACCAGUCUGCAUAAGAAAUGCAUUGUCAAGAGGUUAAAGGAAGUGAUUUUUCUCCUGUAUUCAACACUUGUAAGGCAGAUCUGGAGUUCAUGAUCGGUCUGGGGCUUCCCAGUACAAGAACAGAUAUUAACAAAUCUGAGUAUAGCAGAGAACCAACAAAACUGUUAAAAGACUAACAUGUGGCACAGCCCAAAGGAGGCUAAGCUGGGAUUGUUCAACCUGAACAUUAAGGUUGCAGGGUCUAAAGACUACGAAUACCUGGUGGAUAAUUAUAGAAAAGAGAGAGCCAGACUCUUCUCAAAAGAAAAAAUAGAAGAGGUGGUAGGAAAGCUACAGAAAGUGAAUCUGACUGUGCAUCAGAAAAAAACACACACUGAAGAUGCUACAAAACUGGAACAGGAAACCGUAGAGGCUGUCAAACAUCCUGGAAAUACACAAAAUUUGGCCCACUUUCAAAGUCAGCCGUGCUUCGAUAAGGAGAGGUUGACCCAGAUGACCUUCUGAAGCCUCUUCAACCCAAACUAUUCAACGAUUCUAAAAGCUGAAAAUAAGAAUGCAAGCUUCACAGUGUGGCUAACAAAACACACAGACGUCUGUUUCUGUUAUCUUAUGCCGUGUAACACUGCAUUCUACUAACUCAAGAUAGUUUUCAUAGCAUCAUCAGUUUUAACUUAAGCCCUCAUUAUCAAAUAGUCCAGGCCACAUAUGCGUUCAGGUACAGAUACUCUGUAAAAAGCAUAAAUCCUACAAGAAAUAGCACUGAAGAGUUCAGGAGUGAUGUUUAUCUCUAUGCAAGUAAAGUAGCCCAAUUCCAGGCACAACUCAAGUCCUGGCCAUCUCUUCUUCCGUCCAACAGCUCUGGUAUUUCUUUGACACGUGAAGAGAAACAACAUGAACCGUGGUUAAUAUCCUUUGUGGAAUACGGUAUUAAGUCAUGUACUGUUCCAGGUACACAAGAGCUAGGAUCUUGCAUACACUGAAAUGUUGCCUCUAAAGCAUGAGAAGUUUUCCUCCUACAGCUGCAGCAAACAUUUAUGAAAAUGACUUCCAUAGCUUAACUUUGGUUUACUUCUUUGCAUGUUUUCAUAAAAAUUCUAUGACCUAAAGAUGUGAAGACAGCAUCACAGCUGACAUUUGUUGUGUUCUGUUGUUGUUUUUAAAACCACUAACUACAUUUCUACAGAUUUUUCAAAAAGUCAACAUUUAUUCAAAAUUUUUUAUACUAUCAGCAAUCCUUCGGGAAGAAUUAUGCUUUUAAAAAUAAAUGUUUAAACAGUAAGAUGUAAAGCUAAUAACGGUCUUCAGUUUAUGAACACCUUACCCAAAAGCAGAUGGGGAACACGCAACUGAAGAAGUGCAGCAAUCUCCUUGUGAGAAGGUAAAAACCUCUUCAUAUGAUCACAUGAAACGGCAACUAAGAAGGUGACUACUUGCCCAUUUCCUGCUCACUGUUUUCUACGCCAGUUACAAGCAGAAUGAUUGACCACUGCAUUGUAUAGCUCUUUGCUUCCUUCUGGUCACGAUCACACCACCUUCUACUCAGAGAAACAAGAACAUUCAAUGCAGAUUUACUAAAAGAACUCUUUCCAGUUGAUGGUAAAUUACAUAUAACAAUGACUUUUAUCACGACAGAGAAUGUAAGAAUGGUUAAGAGGAUACGCUCGACAGUUAACAGGAUAUGCUGACCAUACUUUCCUCGUUGUGUCACGAAUUCUAGGAGUCAUGAAAGAAUACAGACACUGGGAUUCUUUACAAAAUCUUGUACUAGUCUACUUCUGGAACGAUUAAACAUCUGUGACAGAGAGUCUAUCCACUCCAUAUAGGGAAACAUUUAUGUAGUACCAUCAGUUAAAGCCUGAAGGAAAGGAACAACUGUUUAAACCAGUUUACCAAAACUAAACGUACAUCGAGAAGAAAAAAAAAUAUAAGUGGAUGCAAAAAAGAGGGCAUGUCUAGCUAUAGCAUAGACUCCUUCAUAACUAAGGAAACAAAUAAUACUCUUACGUUUGCUAGGGUGCCCGUUCAGCCACACGCUUAACCACAGCUUCCAUUUAACACAUUCGUCUUUAAGGAGCAGGAAUUAGAAGCCUGUGACCGAUUUGCACUCAAAAAACUCCCAAGAUCCUGCACCUUCUGCCCCCCGCCCUAGCUCUUUUCUGUUGCACAUCUUCCUCUCCCCAGGUAGCAGGCACAAAUAAAACAAACCAAUAAAGUUCAUCCACCUGAGCUGAGGUUUUGUUUGCUUUGUUUUUUUUUUUUUUUUUGGACGGACAAUUCUGCCAGAUAAAUAAACUUCCAAAUAUCAGAACGAGAGAAUGGACACAGAACAGUCAAGACAGAACACUUUUGUUUUUGUCAAUUUUCUUUUAAAUCCCAAUCCAGCUCCUAGUAAGACUGGACACUACUUACAACACUCCUAGAACUGCAGAAGAAUGGAAACACAAUAGGGAGCGAGUGGAAGGGGGGGACAAGACAGCCCAGUGGCUGGCUUCAGACAUUCACAUACACAAAAGCCAGCACUGACUGGAGUCAUUAAGGCCCAGAUGCCCCACUAAAUAGGAACAAACCCAAACACAAAGGUAGCACGUGAAAUGCAUUUACCUAUUUAAACACAGGCAGCUGGUCAGGCUAGAAUGGGGAAGGUAACUGCUAAUUCCUUGUACUACAAGGAAGGAAUGGAGUAAAAAAACCCAAGCCCACGGGCAGGUUUUUGCUUUGUGAACCUCUGUCUGUGCUGCUGGUUAACAGUGGUAAGUAUAAAAAAAUCAAAGAAAAAUAAUCUAUUUAUAGAACAAGUCAGUAGUCUGAGACAUUUAGAAAAAAGUAAAAACAAGUCCUUCUUUAAAAAUGGAUUUACUAAAACAACUGUCACCCAGGAUGACCCCAAGCCCUCUGGUCCUCUGGCAAAGCCAGGGGUAACUUUGAACAAGAACUGUUGCUGACUGGUACGCAUCCAGCAAGGCCAGCAGGGAGGGGAAUUUGCACUGCGAACAGUAUCUGCAGACUGCUUGCUGGUAUCUCUUGAGGCCAUGCCCGUAGCCUGGUGAUACUGGAAAUAGUUGUGAGUGAAACUUUUCACAGAAGCACAUGUCAGUGUAACCUCUGAGGUAAGUGGGCUGUCUUCUUUCCUUCCCAUUCCUGGGUACAGAUCACAGAAGCUGGUGCCCUGUACCUCCUCGCCA